rnacentral:rRNA from 1 species
AUUGAACGCUGGCGGAAUGCUUUACACAUGCAAGUCGAACGGCAGCACGGGAGCUUGCUCCUGGUGGCGAGUGGCGAACGGGUGAGUAAUAUAUCGGAACAUACCCUAGAGUGGGGUAGUAACGUAGCGAAGUUAACGCUAAUACCGCAUACGCACUAAGGUGGAAAGUGGGGGAUCUUCGGACCUCAUGCUCAUGGAGUGGCCGAUAUCUGAUUAGCUAGUUGGUGAGGUAAAGGCUCACCAAGGCGACGAUCAGUAGCUGGUUUGAGAGAACGACCAGCCACACUGGAACUGAGACACGGUCCAGACUCCUACGGGAGGCAGCAGUGGGGAAUUUUGGACAAUGGGGGGCGAACCCCUGAUCCAGCAAUGCCGCGUGAGUGAAGAAGG